AGUGAACGCUGGCGGUAGGCCUAACACAUGCAAGUCGAACGGCAGCACAGUAAGAGCUUGCUCUUACGGGUGGCGAGUGGCGGACGGGUGAGGAAUACAUCGGAAUCUACUUUUUCGUGGGGGAUAACGUAGGGAAACUUACGCUAAUACCGCAUACGACCUACGGGUGAAAGCAGGGGAUCUUCGGACCUUGCGCGAUUGAAUGAGCCGAUGUCGGAUUAGCUAGUUGGCGGGGUAAAGGCCCACCAAGGCGACUAUCCGUAGCUGGUCUGAGAGGAUGAUCAGCCACACUGGAACUGAGACACGGUCCAGACUCCUACGGGAGGCAGCAGUGGGGAAUAUUGGACAAUGGGCGCAAGCCUGAUCCAGCCAUACCGCGUGGGUGAAGAAGGCCUUCGGGUUGUAAAGCCCUUUUGUUGGGAAAGAAAAGCAGCAGGUUAAUACCCCGCUGUUCUGACGGUACCCAAAGAAUAAGCACCGGCUAACUUCGUG
rnacentral:rRNA from 1 species